GUGGUGGCUCAGUGGUAGGGUGCUCACCUAGCACAUGUGAGGCCCUAGGUUUGAUCCUCAGCACUACA
rnacentral:tRNA from 1 species